rnacentral:rRNA from 1 species
ACGGGAGGCAGCAGUGGGGAAUAUUGGGCAAUGGGCGCAAGCCUGACCCAGCAAUGCCGCGUGAAGGAAGAAGGCUUUCGGGUUGUAAACUUCUUUUAAGUGGGACGAUAAUGACGGUACCACUUGAGUAAGCUCCGGCUAACUACGUGCCAGCAGCCGCGGUAAUACGUAGGGAGCAAGCGUUAUCCGGAUUUACUGGGUGUAAAGGGCGUGUAGGCGGGACUGCAAGUCAGAUGUGAAAGCACAGGGCUCAACUCUGUGUCUGCAUUUGAAACUGUAGUUCUUGAGUGUUGGAGAGGCUAACGGAACUCCUAGUGUAGCGGUGAAAUGCGUAGAUAUUAGGAAGAACACCAGUGGCGAAGGCGGUUAGCUGGACAAUAACUGACGCUGAGGCGCGAAAGCGUGGGUAGCAAACAGGAUUAGAUACCCUGGUA